UUACUAUAGAAAUUUACUGGACAAUGCAACUUUUAUUCUAUAUCUUGGAUCCCACUCAAUAACAUCCUUUACCUGAAAUUAGAAAACCAGAAAAUAAUCUGUGAUGGGGAAAAAAAUUAAAAUUAUAGGAGCUGGAGAUUAUGACCUCCACGGUGUAAAGAGAUCCCUGAAAUCAGCUGAUCUACGAUGCUUAAUUCUUUGUCUUCUUCCUCUUUUCUUUCAGACCUUUAACUGAAAACUAGACCUUAUCAUCCACCUCGGUGGAUUUUGAUAACCCAUCAUGUUUUUGUGCUUUGUUUCCAUUCAUUGAAAGACUACGACGCUCCUUUCCUCCAGGCUUAGACGAGGCAUUACCAUACCACAUCAUUCCAGCUACUGCAAUAAUCAUACCUACAAUUACUUGAAGAUUAAGGCCCUCUUUCCCGAAGAAAAUAAAUCCUAAGAUCAGGACAAGAAUUGUCUUCAUAUGGCCAAGCACUUGAAAUGACACAGCAGUAAACCGACCAAUGCAAAUGAAUUGGCUAAGAUUUGUCCCUACUGCAAUACUGCAUGACAGGAUUAUGAACAACACAGAUGUGAAACUAUAUGCAUAAGCAUCAACUCUUUUAUCUGUCAACCAAUAAUCCAAUAAAGGUCCUACUAAAAGCAGAGAAACUGCUUGUGCUGGAGCAGUGUGCCCCAACAAGUUGAAAGAUCCUAAAGAAUACCUCCGUUGAAGAAAAUGUACAUAAUAUUGCUGCAAGGAAGUGCUCCAAACGGCCACCACUGCAGCUAUAAAUCCUUUGGUAUUGACACUCACAUCUGUAACAGUACAGACUGCAACACCAAGAAGAACUACUACUAUGCUAAGCUUUGUGUCCCUUGAAUACCGUACUUUGUCCAAGACAACUUCCAGAAAACAGGAUACUGGAAUCAUACUCAACUUUGCAAUCUGAUAAAAUCCAACCGAAUUCCACAUUAAACUCACAUUCAUUCCAACAAUAGAGAAGUUUGCGAACAGAACAAACUUCAGAAGCUCAGAUAAUGGUAGAUGAGAUGCUUGGAUAUAUCCCAACCACCUAAGAAUAAUAGUUAACAGGGUGGUUGUGGCAAAAUGCAGACCAGUUAACGUUGUAGCAAAACUAAAGCCAUAGGUAGCCAUCAACGCUUUAUUGACGAGAAUUAUUCCAACGGAUGUGACAACAUUGAACAUCCAUGAGGCUGCAUCAACAGCAGCUUUCCUAUCAACCUUGUUUGCGGAAGACAUGUUCUUCUAUUCUUCCAACUAGCAACAAAAUUUUUCCCUAAUAGCUCUUCAUAAGAGGGAAACUCUUCUUGUUAAAAACUGUGAGCUGUGAUGUUGUAUCCGUACUCACAAGGUAUCUGAGAUAAAAGGAAAUUAAAGUAGCGAGUUUGGAGGUUGUCUUCUAGUUUUCCCAGGAAACAAAAGGAAAAUAAUGGAAAAAGAUCUCGUUGACG
rnacentral:misc_RNA from 1 species